UGCAGGGGGGGGUUGGACUAGAUGACUUCUAAAGGUCCGCUCCAACCCAGAGCAUUCUAUGAUUUUGUGGAGAAACAAACCCCCUUACUUGAGGGGCUGCUGGCAGCAGGGCAGGGCUGCGGAACACUGGGGAGCCGUGCAGGCCUUGGUGCUCUAAGGACUGGUUCUUCUGUAGCAUGGAGCCCUGUGGCAGCUUUGGCUGGUACCUCUUCACCCAUGAGUGAGCCCACAGAGGGCUUGUGCAGGUGGGUAGUGGUGUCCCUCACAUUACAGCGUGAAGGGAUGCUUUAGGCUGCCACUUGCGGUAAGCGGUAUCUUGAGCAAUGUGACCACUGUAAAACAAGAGUGCUGCUGCUUCGUCAGUCAUAACUGCAUGUAUCUGUUACAAUUGCAUACCCUACAGAGAGUCAGGUGCGUGCAGUUACUGAAAGAGGUGCUUUGUAGGUGCUCAGAUAGAACGCAUAUGUGAUGUAUUCCAUGCAUCUGUUUAAUAAUUUGUGUGCUAGGCCCAUGCUCCAUUUGUUUCCACCUAUUUUUUUUUUUCAAACUCCUUGUUACAUUAAAACUGUUUGGAGUACAACACAAAAAUUCUUUUCUGUGUUAAUCAGCCAAAAAGAGCGAACAAGAGCUAAAAGAUGAAGAAAUGGAGUUGUUCACCAAAUAUUACAUGGAAUGGAAAGGAGGAAGAAAAAGUGUCAAUACGUCAUAUACGAACAUACCACGAUUUUACUACAGGUUGCCAGCUGAAGAUGAAGUCUUGCUUCAGAAACUAAGAGAAGAGUCUAGAGCUGUCUUUCUGCAAAGAAAAAGUAGGGAGCUGUUGGAUAAUGAAGAGCUGCAGAAUCUAUGGUUUCUACUGGACAAACAUCAGACCUCACCAAUGAUUGGGGAAGAAGCAAUGAUCAACUAUGAGAACUUCUUGAAAGUUGGUGAAAAAGCUGGACCUAAAUGCAAGCAGUUCUUCACGGCUAAAAUCUUUGCUAAAUUACUCCAUAAUGAUCCUUAUGGGAGGAUAUCUAUCAUGCAGUUUUUCAAUUAUGUCAUGCGAAAAGUAUGGCUUCAUCAGACAAGAAUAGGUCUCAGUUUAUAUGACGUGGCAGGACAGGGCUACCUCAGAGAAUCAGAUUUAGAAAACUAUAUUUUGGAACUCAUCCCUACUUUGCCGCAGCUGGAUGGUUUAGAAAAAUCUUUUUACUCCUUCUAUGUCUGCACAGCAGUUAGGAAGUUUUUUUUCUUUCUGGAUCCUCUCAGAACAGGGAAGAUAAAGAUACAGGAUAUUUUAGCUUGCAGCUUCCUGGAUGACUUACUGGAGUUAAGGGAUGAAGAACUUUCUAAAGAAAGUCAGGAAACAAAUUGGUUUUCUGCUCCUUCUGCAUUAAGAGUUUAUGGCCAGUACUUAAACCUUGAUAAAGAUCACAAUGGCAUGCUCAGCAAAGAAGAACUGUCCCGGUACGGAACAGGGACUCUGACAAACAUAUUUUUGGAUCGUGUCUUUCAGGAAUGCUUAACUUACGAUGGUGAAAUGGACUAUAAAACCUACCUGGACUUUGUGCUUGCAUUAGAAAACAGAAAGGAGCCUGCAGCUCUGCAAUAUGUUUUCAAACUGCUUGAUAUAGAGAACAAAGGAUACCUGAAUGUCUUUUCCCUUAAUUAUUUCUUUAGGACAGAGGGACAAGCACUUCAAUAUUUUUUCUUCAAAGUCAUUGUGCUCUACUGUAUGCUCAAAGUAAGAUGAACAAGGUACGUACAUCAUUCAGCUAAUUAAGUAAAACAUUCAGGCCUGCGCAAGGCAUAAUCUUAUAUCUGCAUUAUUUCUAUAUUGUAAUAAGUCUGCAAUUGAACGUGAACUUUGAUAGUGACUACAACCAUAUAAUUUUGUAAAAAUAAAACUUCUUAUCUGGAAGACUUUUUCUAGAAAGACUUUUUUUUUUUUAAGUGCCUUGGAAUCAUCAAAUAAUUUAGGGUGGAAUGGACCUUUGGAGGUCACCUACUCCCACCAUCUGCUCAGAGCAGGGCCAGCUUCAUGGUUAGGUCGAGUUUCUCAGGGCCUUGUCCAGGCGAGUUUUGGGUAUCUCCAAGGAGGGGACUCUGUGGCCUCUUUGGGCAAUGUGUUCCGGUGUCAAACUACCCUAUUUCACACUUUGUCAGAAAACGGAACCUUCUGAUUUGAGUAUAUUAAGCUUUGAGUGUUGAGUGACAAUAUCCAAGUGUGUGCAUAUCCCAUUUGCAGGGUGCUCAAACACUGGUCAUAAUGAAAGUUGGAUUCUUGCCAUAUUGACCAAGAACUGUGAACCUAGAGAUGUGCAUCAUUGAUUAUGCCUUAACUCACCCCUGCCUCACUUGGGGAAGAGAAUUGAUUGCAAGCCAUACCAUGAAUGCUUUGUUGCAGGGCAAUACAGCUUAAGAUGCAGAAGCAUUAAAAAAGUGCCAUACAGUGUCAGUAUAAUACUGCAUUACCUAUUCCUAACUUUUUUUUUUUUUAGGCUAUUCAGGAACAAAUGAAAAUCCAUGGACAAGAACCAGUUUCUUUUCAGGAUGUCAAGGAUGAAAUCUUUGAUAUGGUGAAGCCUAAGGAUCCUU